GGACUACCAGGGUAUCUAAUCCUGUUUGCUCCCCACGCUUUCGUGCCUCAGUGUCAGUAUUAGGCCAGGUAGCCGCCUUCGCCACCGGUGUUCCUUCCGAUCUCUACGCAUUUCACCGCUACACCGGAAAUUCCACUACCCUCUCCUAUACUCUAAGUCAGGCAGUCUUAGCUGACACUCCCAGGUUAAGCCCAGGGAUUUUACAGCUAACUUACUCAACCACCUACGCACCCUUUACGCCCAGUAAUUCCGAUUAACGCUCGCACCCUCCGUAUUACCGCGGCUGCUGGCAC
rnacentral:rRNA from 1 species